rnacentral:rRNA from 3 species
CAGCGGCGGCACCGCGUCCGGUCCUCGAGCGUAUGGGGCUUUGUCACCCGCUCUGUAGGCCCGGCCGGCGCUUGCCGAUCAACCCAAAUUUUUAUCCAGGUUGACCUCGGAUCAGGUAGGGAUACCCGCUGAACUUAA